rnacentral:lncRNA from 1 species
GUUUACUGAGGGUUUUUAUCAUGAAGGGAUGUUGAAUUUUAACAAAAGGUUGCUCAGCAUCUAUCAAGGCUAUCAUAAGGUUCUGGUAUGAAGAUGGCUUCAUAGCAUCAUCCCUCCUCCUGAUGGCUGGAUUCCCUCCUCCAUUUUUUUUUUUUUUGGAAUAGUUUAAGUAGAAUUGAUACCAGCUUUUCUGUUAAAAUUUGGUUGUGAAUCCAUCUGGUCCAGGUUAGUUGUUUUCUGCCUUGUUUCACCCAGGAGAAACCGCGGCUACUGUAGCCUUCCUCCUGCCCCAGACCUGCAACAGGGAAGAGCACGUUCAGGACCUAUUGCUGGGGCACCUUCCACACUUGUCACACAAUUCUGGCUGUUUAGACCCCCACCCUACUUCAGAGCCCCAGUGUUCCAAUCUCUGUCUUGAGACUAAAAUGCCUGUGUGGCCAUGCUGCCAGAUUGCCAAAGAAUGACUUAUUUGUAUAAACCUGGAUUAAAAAUGGUAUCCUGCUGCCAGACCCAGGUGUGGGAAAAUGCCUGUAGAUUUUUCUGGUAUUCUUCCCGCUCAUUGUCUUCAAGCCUCUCCCCAAGUUUGUGCCAGAGCUUGAAAGAAAAGAAGAGUUCUCCCAUGGCCUGCAUUGCACAGAACGCCGGGGGAAAGCAAGGGUCUGCUGCUUCACUCCUGAAGUCAGCUAGACCAUGAACCCACCAGGAGGAACAAACUCUGGACACACCAUCUUUAAGAACUGUAACACUCACUGGGAGGAGCCACAGCUUCAUUCUUGAAGUCAGCAAGACCAAGAACCUACCGGAAGUAACCAAUUCCAGAUACAAUGUCAUACUACAUUUCAACAAACAUUGUGCUACAAUACAAUGCAUUUAAAAUAUUUGGACUUUUUCAAACUUUCAACUUUUAGAAGACUAACAUUUUCUUUAAAAUAUAUGUUGCUUUUCUCUGUUAUUUAUGGGUUAUUUAGCCAACAAUUUGUGAUUGAAGCUGUGUGUCCAAGCAAUUGGAGCUUCUGAAUUUAAUAAAAACAAAUCUUCACCAUUUGGUUUCCAUUAUUUAG